rnacentral:snoRNA from 1 species
AAGACCGUACUUGAACAGGAUCAUUUCUAUAGUGCAGUCAUCUUUACUUUGUUUUCCAAAGUAGACGAUACCAAUAACUUUGAGGAUCGAGAGUGACCCCCUUCGUUGACUCGGGAUGUCGGCGCACGUGCUGUGGACGCAAGUCCGGGUCGUGGCUGUUGAUGAACGUCCACUGUUGCAUUCCAAGACAGUGUGAGCGGAGGCGGGUGUUAUGAGAAGU